GAGCAAGGAGGUACAUCUUGAUUGUGCACUGAACCAGAAAUAUUUGGUUGACUUCAACAAGAAAGAUAAAGACCAGCAACGUCCAGACCCAGCAUCAUCUGGUCUCAGAAAGUGCAAGAGAGCUGGAAUUGGACACACACCAGUAAGAGAGCUUCCUGAAGAAUAAGUUGCUUUCUCAGGAGUCCCUGAUGACAAACAUCCUGAAUGAAAACAGCACUUGAGAGACAACUUGGGGGACCUCCUUUCAUUAUGUGUGCAAGAGGAGAAACAGCAAUACAUCUGUGCUUCCAAAUGUUCGUUAAGAAUGUGAUGUUUAG